rnacentral:rRNA from 1 species
UACGGAGGGUGCGAGCGUUGUUCGGAAUCACUGGGCGUAAAGGGCGCGUAGGCGGUCCGUUAAGUCUGAUGUGAAAGCCCGGGGCUCACCCCCGGAAGGGCAUUGGAAACUGGCGGACUCGAGUCCCGGAGAGGAAGGUGGAAUUCCUGGUGUAGCGGUGAAAUGCGUAGAUAUCAGGAGGAAUACCGGUGGCGAAGGCGGCCUUCUGGACGGUGACUGACGCUGAGACGCGAAAGCGUGGGGAGCAAACAGG